GGGUUAGGAAUUAUUAUUGGUUAAUAGUAUUUAAUAUUAAUUUAUUUUUUUUGUUGUUUUGAGGUGAAAUUUUAUUUUAUUUAUAAUAUAUUUAAUUUUAUUCUAUGAAAUUUAUUUUAUAAACAAGGAUUAGAUACCCUUUUAUAAUAAAUAUUAAUUUUGUUCCGGGUUAGUAUUAGUUAGUUCUUGAAAUCCAAAUAAUUUGGCGGUAUUUUAUUCUUUUCAGAGGAACCUGUUCUUUAAUUGAUAAUCCACGAUUUUAUUUACUUGGUCUUGUUUAUACAGUUUUUAUAUUUCCGUCAUAAGAAUAUUUUUAUAGAAUGAAUUUUCUUGAUUAUUUGAAAGUAAGAAUGUCAGGUCAAGAUGAAAUUAAUGAUUAAGUGGUAAUGGGUUMCAAUAAAUUUAUUUAUAUGAAUAUAUAAUUUUAUAAUUAUUUUGAAGGUGGAUUUGAGAGUAAAUAAAUUUAUUAAAUUUAUUGGUUUUUAGCUCUAAAAUAUGCACACAUCGCCCGUCGCUCUCAUAAUAAAGUGAGAUAAGUCGUAACAUAGUAGGCGUAUCGGAAGAUGUGCCUAGAAAGUAA
rnacentral:rRNA from 1 species